GACGAACGCUGGCGGCGUGCUUAACACAUGCAAGUCGAACGGAAAGGCCUGCUUUCCCUUGUGGAUUGCGGGUACUCGAGUGGCGAACGGGUGAGUAACACGUGAGUGAUCUACCCCCAACUUGGGUAUAAGCCUGGGAAACUGGGUCUAAUUCCCGAUAGGACUGCAGGGUGGUGCCUGUGGUGGAAAACGAUUUUCUAGUGGUUGGGGAUGAGCUCGCGGCCUAUCAGCUUGUUGGUGGGGUAAUGGCCUACCAAGGCGGCGACGGGUAGCCGGCCUGAGAGGGUGGACGGCCACAUUGGGACUGAGAUACGGCCCGGACUCCUACGGGAGGCAGCAGUGGGGAAUAUUGCACAAUGGGCGGAAGCCUGAUGCAGCGACGCCGCGUGGGGGAUGACGGCCUUCGGGUUGUAAACUCCUUUCGACCGCGAGGAAGCCACCUGGUUGGAAGGGUGGUGACGGUAGUGGUAGAAGAAGCACCGGCUAACUACGUG
rnacentral:rRNA from 1 species